rnacentral:misc_RNA from 1 species
GAAAUGCGAUAAUUAAUGUGAAUUGCAGAAUUCAGUGAAUCAUCGAGUCUUUGAACGCACAUUGCGCCCCCUGGUAUUCCGGGGGGCAUGCCUGUCCGAGCGUCAUUGCUGCCCUCAAGCACGGCUUGUGUGUUGGGCUUCCGUCCCUGGCAACGGGGACGGGCCCAAAAGGCAGUGGCGGCACCAUGUCUGGUCCUCGAGCGUAUGGGGCUUUGUCACCCGCUCCCGUAGGUCCAGCUGGCAGCUAGCCUCGCAACCAAUCUUUUUAACCAGGUUGACCUCGGAUCAGGUAGGGAUACCCGCUGAACUAAGC